rnacentral:rRNA from 1 species
GACGAACGCUGGCGGCGUGCUUAACACAUGCAAGUCGAACGGUGAAGCGCCUUCCUUUUUGGUGGGUGUGGAUGAGUGGCGAACGGGUGAGUAACACGUGAGUAACCUGCCCCCUUCUUCUGGAUAACCGCAUGAAAGUGUGGCUAAUACGGGAUAUUCUGGGUCUGUCGCAUGAUGGGUCUGGGAAAGAUAUUGUUUCGGUGGGGGAUGGGCUCGCGGCCUAUCAGCUUGUUGGUGGGGUGAUGGCCUACCAAGGCGGUGACGGGUAGCCGGCCUGAGAGGGUGGACGGUCACACAGGGACUGAGACGCGGGCAAGACUACUACGGGGGGCAGCAGUGGGGAAUAUUGCACAAUGGGCGCAAGCCUGAUGCAGCGACGCCGCGUGAGGGAUGGAGGCCGUCGGGUUGUGAACCUCUUUCGCCAGUGAAGCAGGCCUGCCUCGUUUGUGGGUGGGUUGACGGUAGCUGGAUAAGAAGCGCCGGCUAACUACGUG